rnacentral:snRNA from 1 species
AAGUGCUACAGCUCCUUUAGAAUUUGUCUAGCAGGUUUUCUGUUCUCUACCAGAAGACCCCA